rnacentral:snoRNA from 1 species
UCUCAGUGAUGCAGUUCCAAUGGAUCCUUCUGACCCUCCUCUGUGGGCUCAGUCAUUGAGCAGGGAGGUGAAGAGGACCGUGACAGAGA